rnacentral:tRNA from 1 species
GCACUGGUGGCUCAGUGGUUAAGAGCUACGGCUGCUAACCAAAAGGCCGGCUGUUCGAAUCCACCAGUGCU